AGUGAACGCUGGCGGCAGGCCUAACACAUGCAAGUCGAACGGCAGCACAGCAGUAGCAAUACUGUGGGUGGCGAGUGGCGGACGGGUGAGGAAUACAUCGGAAUCUGCCUAGUCGUGGGGGAUAACGUAGGGAAACUUACGCUAAUACCGCAUACGACCUACGGGUGAAAGCGGGGGAUCGCAAGACCUCGCGCGAUUAGAUGAGCCGAUGUCCGAUUAGCUAGUUGGCGGGGUAAUGGCCCACCAAGGCGACGAUCGGUAGCUGGUCUGAGAGGAUGAUCAGCCACACUGGAACUGAAACACGGUCCAGACUCCUACGGGAGGCAGCAGUGGGGAAUAUUGGACAAUGGGCGCAAGCCUGAUCCAGCCAUGCCGCGUGGGUGAAGUAAGGCC
rnacentral:rRNA from 1 species